ensembl:lncRNA
CCGAAGUCGUCCUGUUGCCAGGCCUUCAACCAAACACAUCCUGCUUGGCAGCCGCUGUGUACUCAGUGUUCUAACCUUUCCCUGAACCAGUCAUCUUAAGUACAGCCUUGCAAAAUGGCGUUACUGCUGCUAAGCUGGGGUCUUUCAAUGCCUUUGUCAACAGAGAGGGCCUCUGUGGUAUGCCUUUGAGGUGAUUUCUGAGCUCUUUGUAACUUGAGCACAGUGAGAAAGAUAUGAAAUACUAACAGUGAAAAUAUAAUUUUUUGAGAGGUAGGACUAAAAGCAUAAAAUAACUCCACAGGAUGGGGUCAGGUUGAGUGAGCAUGAUACUCCAAAGUCCCACCUCUUCUGUUCUAGGGACUUUUUAUUCAUCAAAAUAUAUGGAUAUGGAGUACUUUUAGAAGGGGUUAUCAUUUUAGGCUGUGGCAGAUGAUUCACUGGUUUUGGAGCAGGUUUGUAUAAUCCUUGAGAUGGUCCAGAACUAUUCUCUAAUGUGUUUUCUUGAGUGUUGAAUUCUCAGAUUAAUGUCUAUGUGGCUUAUAGUCUUCUGUGUGUGGCUUUAUUUUUCUACUUUUGAGAGACCCCGGCUUAGCAACAGUAACGCCAUUUUACAAGGCUGUACUUAGAUGACUGGUUCAGGGAAGGGUCAAAACACUGAGAACACUGCGGCUGCCAAACAGGAUGUUUGUAGUUGAGUGCCUGACAACAAAAGAAAGAAAUGUAAAGCCCUGGGAGAGGUCCCACACCCUAGUGGAGGGCCAAGUCAGCCAUUAUGUUCCAGGAAGGCGGCCAGGGAACUUGCCCUUUGGCUGAACCCUCGCCUCAUUAGAAUCCACCAAUUAUGUCCCUGUAACCAUGCAUCUGCUUCUGUAUGCUUGCUUCUGCUCCCCAGAACCCUAUAAAAAAACCCGUCCCUGGUUCCGCGGGGCGCGCCAGUCCCUCGAGUAGACUGAAGCGCCCACAAGAGCCUGUGUAUCCUGAAAGUAAACCCUCUUGCUGAUUGCAUCCGGUGGUCUCGGUCUGGUCAAUGGGCUUGAGGGUCUCCUUCCUGAGAAAAAGUUCUACUUUUCAUUUGGGGUCUCAUCUGGAAUCCGGAGAUCCUCCACCCAGGAGCCACCGACUACCCACCGGGAGGUUAAAGAUCAGGUCUUCCACAAGGGACCACAUGGACACCCUGACCAGGUGCCCUAUAUUGUCACUUGGGAGAGUCUUGCAUUUGCCCCCCCCCGCCCCCCGUAUCGUCUACCUACAGGCUGGGCUGAGGAGGUGGAAGCAGAGCUGCCUGCCAGACCAGUUGCCGGGCCGCAGCCUGAGGCGGUUUCUUCCCCUGAGGCUGGGAGGCUCCGGGGCCCGCGUGAGGUGGCGACGGACUCCACCUCCCAGGCUUUCCCGUUUACACAAGGGGCCGGUGGCCAGACCCAAUACUGGCCGUUCUCAGCGGCCGACAUUUAUAACUGGAAACAGCAUGACUCCCCCCCCCCCUUUUUCCAAGGAUCUGAUGGCCCUUAACGAUUUAAUAGAAUCUGUUUUAAUGCUAUUUGCCCUGUUCGGCAGAUCCGUAUCUUCUGGACUCUUGUUUUCUUGCCAUCCAAUUUGAGAUGCUUGUUAGUAACUGUUACAGGUCUUCUUUACCACUGAGGAAAGAUAGAAUCCUACUAAAGGCCAGAAAAAAAAAGUUCCAGACACGGAUGAAAGGCCCUCACUUCUGCCUGUUGGAUUCAAUACGCCUAAAGGUAGGGAGUGCUCCAGGUCUGCCCCCAGGCUCCAAGGGUGGGUCUCUGAGGGGUUAGAAAAUGCCCCACCAAUCUGGCUAAGAUAAAGAAAAGAUAUGAAGAGAAAGUUACAGAAAUUUAAGUUAGAGAGCUAAAGAGAGAUAAAAGACAAGAGAGGAACAUAUACUGGCCACAGUAGUUAGGGAACCUAAGAAGACAGUACUUGACAACAGAAGAGAAUUCCUGGCUAAAAAUCAGUGUGCCUAAUACAAAGAAAAAGGACACUGGGUCAGGGAUUGCCCCAGAAAGAACAAGAGGGGCCACUGGAGAGCCUCUUGGUCCUAGAGUGCUGGCUAUGCGCAGAGAUAAAAGGGAAGCCCGCCCAGUUAUUUUAUGGAUACAGAGACCCAACACUCUGUGUUCCUAUGCCCCAGUGUCAGUAUCCAAAGACCUUGGGUACAGGGGACUACUGGCAACAAGCAAUACUUAUGGACUACCCGAAGAACAGUGGACCUUGGCGUGGGCCAGGUAACCCACUAGUUCAUAGUCAUCCCUGACUGCCCCAUCCCUUGCUCAUGAGAAAUUUGCUCUCCAAAAUGGCUUGUGUGGGCUGAAAUGGCUGGGUGAGGCCAUGUGUAUACAUAUCUGCAGACUGUGUAUGUGGAGCUUAAGACCUGUCUCAGUGCACCAGUACCUGAUGCUGGGAGAUGUAUGGCUUAGUGCCAUUCUGCCUGGAACACACCGUUCCUGCCAGCUGGGCACUAACAAUUAUCACCCAAUCCAGGACUUAAACUGUGAUAGAGUGGCUGAUGUUUUGCCUCUGAAUAGAACGUCCCAAAAGAUGGGACCACUGGUCAGCUGCCAUGGACUAGAUUCUCCACCGGUUGGGGGCAAUCUGAUCACCUUGCUGCCUAAUCCUGACCUGGAGCCACCAUAACAUGAGUAUCAAGUACUGACAGCCAAUGGGUGGCAAAAAAGACCUCUGCAACUGGCUGAUUUAUCCCUGCUAAAGGCCGAGGCUACCUUGUCUACCGAUGAGAACAGUUCUCUUCCUAAAAUUCAGAGAUAAGUGCAUGCUACAAUGAAGGACAACACAAAUGUCAUCUGGAAUGGACAAACCUAUACCCCCCAGCACAUCAGCGCCACAGAUGUCUUACCAUCUCUUGGAUGCCCUGAUGAAGCCAACAACUGUGAGUAUUAUUCAUUGCCCAGGACAUCAGGAAGGAAGAGAUUCAGUGACAUGGGGCAGUAACAAAGCAGAUAAAGUGGCUCGGGAAAUGGCUAUACAGGAGCCUAUCCUGGUUACAGGCCUACAAGAGACAGCCACUGGGAACUGGGAUUGGACUAAGGGAUGGCCUCACUUAGAAUGUACAACAGAAGAAAAGGCCCAAAUUGCUUAAAAAAAAGACAAUGACACACUUGAGGAAAAACUAUAUUCCUCAGAGAACAAACAAAAGACUCACUUUGCCAAAUACAGAAAUGGACUCACUUAGAUAAGAAGCUUGUCCAAGUAGUUAAGGUGUAUAUAAAAGACUUUAAGAUUCUAGCCAGAGAGACAAUAAAAAAUAUAAGAUAUGUCAGUAAGUAAAUGCUUAGCAAACAAACAGGGCAAAGAGACCUAGAGAGUUUAAUAAAAAGUCGAAGUAAACUAUGCUGAGAAAAGUAUGAUCACAAGUAUCUCCUAGUGUUUGUAGAUACCUUUCCAGGAAUAGAUAAAAGCUUUCCUCACUAAGCAAGAGACGGCCUCGAUAGUCAUCCAGAAGAUACUAGAAGAAAUCUUCCCCUGAUUUGGAAUGCCCAAGGUAAUCUGGUCAGACAAUGGCCCUACUUUCAUUGCCAAGGUAAGCCAGAGUGUGGCCAAGUAUUUAGAGGUCGAUUAAAAAUUACAUUGUAUCUACAGACCUCAAAGUUCAAGACAGAGUAAAUAGAUAAAGCUCUAAAAGAGACCCUGACCAAAUUAACCAUGGAGACUGGCACAGACUGGGUGAUACUCCUUCCCUCUCGCUCUCUUCAGAGCAAGAAAUCUCCCUUCUAGAUUCAGCCUAACCCCCUUUGAGAUCUUAUAUGGGGCCUCAGCUCCUCUGACUGUAUUAGAUGAUGUUACUGAACCAACAUGUUAUAGUAAUAAGGAUUUGUAUUCCAGGCUAAAAGACCUACAGGUGAUACAGAAAAAAAUCUGCUCACAGCUGACAACAGCCUAUACCCCGGGGACCCCCGAGACAUCUCAUCAGUUCCAGGUCGGAGACUGCAGCUACAUACAGCGACAUGGAGCCCAGACACUCAAGCCUCGCUAGAAAGGACCGUACCUGGUGCUGCUGACCACCCUGACAGCCAUCAAGUCUCAGCCCUCACCAGCUGUAUACUAGCUGUUGGGGCUGAGAGCUGGGACCUAGAGGGACACUCAGAUCUUCAAAGCUCCCUAGACUUGCACAUCAGACAUCAGAGACGUGACUGGGAAGUUGCUAUAAUGCUCACUUGAAGAGUGUGCUUUAGAAACAAGAAUUUCAUGUUUGCCCUGGGUUCCAUCGAGAUAGAUAUAGACAUAGGCUUGAUUUCUAUUACAAAUGAUAUAACAUUACAUAUGUUAGUACUCCUAACACUUCUUGAGACUGUGCCUCAGGGAUCACAAUCUAUAUAAGUUUAGAAGUUCUAAAAGACAGUUAUGACCUUGGUGUAUAGGUUCAGAUAGUGUCCAGAUUAGAAUCUUGAUGCUAAAGACUUAAUAAGACAAAAAAAAAAAGAGUUGAGAAUUACUUAAGGCUAUCUAGGUGCUACAAGGACAGCACAAGGACAUCUGCUGUUGCCCUACAAUACAAGGCUUAUGGAGAAUUCAGACCUGCCAUUGACUCAGAUAUAAAAAGAGUAAAAAAGACUUUUUAGAUGACCUCCAAGAAUACCUAACCUCCCUCUCAGAGGUAGUCCUUCAGAAUAAGAAAAGAUUAGACCUGAUAUUCCUUAAAGAAAGAGUCUGUGUGCUACACUUAAAGAAGCUAUACAGAUCAGACAGGAAUAAUAAGAGAUAAUAUGGCUAAGCUCCGAGAACGCUUAGCCCAGAGAUAAAAGUUGUUUGAUUCCCAACAAGGGUGGUUUGAGGGGUGGUUUAACUGAUCCCCUUGGUUUGCUACCCUCCUGUCUACCCUGAUGGGACCCCUACUUAUUCUCCUAAUUCUCCUAUUUGGACCCUGUAUCCUUAACAGGCUGGUACAGUUCAUGAGGGAUAGACUUUCAGUCAUUCAGACUCUCGUACUGACACAACAGUACCAUAGGCUGAGACAACAAGAAACAAAGAUCUCUUAACCAAGUUAAGUGAAAGAUUUCACUCAAAGUUAGCAGAAAAAAAAUGAGGAAAUGAGAGACCCUAGCUUAGCAACAGUAACACCAUUUUACAAGGCUGUACUUAGAUGACUGGUUCAGGGAAGGGUCAAAACACUGAGAACACUGCGGCUGCCAAACAGGAUGUUUGUAGUUGAGUGCCUGACAACAAAAGAAAGAAAUGUAAAGCCCUGGGAGAGGUCCCACACCCUAGUGGAGGGCCAAGUCAGCCAUUAUGUUCCAGGAAGGCGGCCAGGGAACUUGCCCCUGGGCUGAACCCUCACCUCCUUAGAAUCCACCAAUUAUGUCCCUGUAACCACGCAUCUGCUUCUGUAUGCUUGCUUCUGCUCCCCAGAACCCUAUAAAAAAACCCGUCCCUGGUUCCGCGGGGCGCGCCAGUCCCUCGAGUUGACUGAAGCGCCCACAGGUGCCUGUGUAUCCUGAAAGUAAACCCUCUUGCUGAUUGUAUCUCUCUGAGAACUUUUCACUUUGUCUGUUCUUGAGUGACAUGUACUUGAAAAUCUUUAUAAGAAGCUGAGGCACAGGAAAUCUCAUCCCCAGUAACUGCUAACAAUACAAACACAUAUUAUCUCUAUUAGGGAUCACGAUUUCUCACUUUAAAUUAUCUAGCUGACACUGUACUUGAAUCUUGUUCCAGAAUUGAUCUGAAAACCUGAUAUGAUAGUAGGAGUUUAAUAUCAUCUUGGUAAGAAGAAUGCAAUUGAUUUAGGAUUUUGAUUGACAAAAUUUGAAGAAUAGGACUAGAAAAAACAUAAAGACGGACCCUGGGAAGAUAAGCAACCAAGACAUCUGAUAUCAAACUAUAUAACAUGAGUCCUGUGAUUCAGAUAGUUGCUCAAUUUUCUGGACAUUACCAAUUAAAUUUUAUCUAGAAUUUCUGAAUAAUCAUGAUUUUUAAACAUAAAACAUCAUUCUUCUUCAAGAAAGAGACACAGUCUUAAUGCUCAGUAAAUUGUGUUGAUGUUUUCCUUAGGAAUGGUUUUUAGAGAGCAACACUUUGUCUCAGCAACAGUGAGGGUUGUUUAGGGAUUUCCAUGGAUUCCCUUGGCCAACAGCUCAAUUGAAAGCAACUGAAUGUUGCCACUCGUGGCUUCACCUGGCAUCAAGAGACAGUCAAAUUCAUGUGAAAGAUUUUCCUUUCUUUUAUUGUUUCUUAACUCUAUCGAUCUCCAUUACAUUCUUAUACCUUUUUAUAUUAUACAUCCUUGAUGGUUCAUUUAUAGUUUUCUUUUUUCAGUUAAAGUUUAUAAAUAAUUUUAUUAAUAAAAUAAGGUUUCAAUAUAAACAAAGGAAUCCUUAUCUUAAACACUGGGACGCCAUACUAGCAGUAUUUUCUAUAAAUUUAAAUUUGUCAGAAAGUCAAGCCCUUUUAUAACAUAUUUAAAGCCUUGUUUAAAAAAUUAUUUCUGUUUCUUAAUUUGGACUCACCAAAUGGCAGGACAAAGUUUUGGAAUUUGUACCUUUAUUUUGUAAUUUUCCCCUCCACUUUAGUUGCCUGAUUGUCUCCUCAAGCAAUCAUAUUAAUUUCUGAGGCAGACAUAGUAGCAUGGGUAUGUUACUAUUUCAAUUCUCAGACUAGCAAGGCCUCACAGGACUCUCCAUUCAAAUUAAAGGUAGCAAAUUUGGGUCUCACCGACUUGAUCUGGGGGCAACUAGCUGAAACAGUAGGCAAACUCUCUGCCACACAAGACAGAAUAUCUGAGUUAGGUCUUUGAAAUACAUUUGAAAGCAGAAGGAAAGAACAAACUCUGCAAAGUUGUUCCCAGACCUCCAUAGUUAUUACAUGCAUCACAGAACUGUACUAUAUACAUACUCAGGAAUGGUAUAUAUAUGGAUAUUGUGGCAGUUCUAGAUAUUUUUGAG